AAGAGCUCGUAGGCGGUCUGUCACGUCGGCUGUGAAAACCCGAGGCUCAACCUCGGGCCUGCAGUCGAUACGGGCAAACUAGAGUACUGCAGGGGAGACUGGAAUUCCUGGUGUAGCGGUGAAAUGCGCAGAUAUCAGGAGGAACACCGGUGGCGAAGGCGGGUCUCUGGGCAGUAACUGACGCUGAGGAGCGAAAGCGUGGGGAGCGAACAGGAUUAGAUACCCUGGUAGUCCACGCCGUAAACGUUGGGCGCUAGGUGUGGGGGCCAUUCCACGGUCUCCGUGCCGCAGCUAACGCAUUAAGCGCCCCGCCUGGGGAGUACGGCCGCAAGGCUAAAACUCAAAGGAAUUGACGGGGGCCCGCACAAGCGGCGGAGCAUGUUGCUUAAUUCGAUGCAACGCGAAGAACCUUACCUAGGCUUGACAUGCACGGAAAUCUCGUAGAGAUACGGGGUGCCUUUGGCGUCGUGCACAGGUGGUGCAUGGUUGUCGUCAGCUCGUGUCGUGAGAUGUUGGGUUAAGUCCCGCAACGAGCGCAACCCUCGUUCUAUGUUGCCAGCACGUGAUGGUGGGGACUCAUAGGAGACUGCCGGGGUCAACUCGGAGGAAGGUGGGGAUGACGUCAAAUCAUCAUGCCCUCUUAUGUCUAGGGCUGCAAACAUGCUACAAUGGCCGGUACAAAGGGCUGCAAUAUCCGCGAGGUGGAGCGAAUCCCAAAAAGCUCGGUCUCAGUUCGGAUUGGGGUCUGCAACUCGACCCCAUGAAGUUGGAGUCGCUAGUAAUCGCAGAUCAGCAACGCUGCGGUGAAUACGUUUCCCGGGACUUGUACACACCGCCCGUCACGUCACGAAAGUCGGUAACGCCCGAAGCCGGUGG
rnacentral:rRNA from 1 species